GCUAUCCUCCAGAUCAUUUAGUUGAACAAAACUGGCUCCAGGACCGACCCCUGGGGCACUCUGCUUGAUACCGGCUGCCAACUAGACAUCAAGCCACUGAUGACUACCUGUUGAGCCUACAGUCUAGCCCACUUUCUAUCCACCUUAUAGUCC